rnacentral:rRNA from 1 species
UACGUAGGGUGCGAGCGUUGUCCGGAAUUAUUGGGCGUAAAGGGCUCGUAGGCGGUCUGUCACGUCGGGAGUGAAACUCAGGGCUUAACCCUGAGCCUGCUUCCGAUACGGGCAGACUAGAGGUAUGCAGGGGAGAACGGAAUUCCUGGUGUAGCGGUGAAAUGCGCAGAUAUCAGGAGGAACACCGGUGGCGAAGGCGGUUCUCUGGGCAUUACCUGACGCUGGAGGAGCGGAAAGUGUGGGGAGCGAACAGG